rnacentral:rRNA from 1 species
GACGAACGCUGGCGGCGUGCUUAACACAUGCAAGUCGAACGAUGAAGCCGGAGCUUGCUCUGGUGAAUUAGUGGCGAACGGGUGAGUAACACGUGAGUAACCUGCCCUUGACUCUGGGAUAACUGCGGGAAACUGUAGCUAAUACCGGAUACGACCCUCGGAGGCAUCUCCUGGGGGUGGAAAGAAUUUCGGUCAAGGAUGGACUCGCGGCCUAUCAGCUAGUUGGUGAGGUAAAGGCUCACCAAGGCGACGACGGGUAGCCGGCCUGAGAGGGUGACCGGCAACACUGGGACUGAGACACGGCCCAGACUCCUACGGGAGGCAGCAGUGGGGAAUAUUGCACAAUGGGCGCAAGCCUGAUGCAGCAACGCCGUGUGAGGGAUGACGGCCUUCGGGUUGUAAACCUCUUUUAGCAGGGAAGAAGCGAAAGUGACGGUACCUGCAGAAAAAGCACCGGCUAACUACGUGCCAGCCGCCGCGGUAA